GACGAACGCUGGCGGCGUGCCUAAUACAUGCAAGUCGAGCGGACCGAAUGGAAGCUUGCUUUCAUUCGGUUAGCGGCGGACGGGUGAGUAACACGUGGGUAACCUGCCCGUAAGACCGGGAUAACUCCGGGAAACCGGGGCUAAUACCGGAUAACACCGAAGACCGCAUGGUCUUCGGUUGAAAGGUGGCUUCGGCUACCACUUACGGAUGGGCCCGCGGCGCAUUAGCUAGUUGGUGAGGUAACGGCUCACCAAGGCGACGAUGCGUAGCCGGCCUGAGAGGGUGACCGGCCACACUGGGACUGAGACACGGCCCAGACGCCUACGGGAGGCAGCAGUAGGGAAUCUUCCGCAAUGGACGAAAGUCUGACGGAGCGACGCCGCGUGAGCGAAGAAGGUCUUCGGAUCGUAAAGCUCUGUUGUUAGGGACGAAGAAGUACCGUUCGAAUAGGGCGGUACGGUGACGGUACCUAACGAGAAAGCCCCGGCUAACUACGUG
rnacentral:rRNA from 1 species